UAAUUACAACUUUCAACAACGGAUCUCUUGGUUCUGGCAUCGAUGAAGAACGCAGCGAAAUGCGAUAAGUAGUGUGAAUUGCAGAAUUCAGUGAAUCAUCGAAUCUUUGAACGCACAUUGCGCCCCUUGGUAUUCCAUGGGGCAUGCCUGUUCGAGCG
rnacentral:rRNA from 1 species